UACGUAGGGUGCAAGCGUUAUCCGGAAUUAUUGGGCGUAAAGAGCUCGUAGGCGGUUUGUCGCGUCUGCUGUGAAAACUGGAGGCUCAACCUCCAGCCUGCAGUGGGUAUGGGCAAACUAGAGUGCGGUAGGGGAGAUUGGAAUUCCUGGUGUAGCGGUGGAAUGCGCAGAUAUCAGGAGGAACACCGAUGGCGAAGGCAGAUCUCUGGGCCGUAACUGACGCUGAGGAGCGAAAGCAUGGGGAGCGAACAGG
rnacentral:rRNA from 1 species